UAACCAGAGAUACUGGAAUAUAAUGACCUCUCUGGUAUAAUUUAGCUAACGAUUUUAAAUUAUGUUAUGUAGCUUGGUAGCUAUCUUGUGAUGAAGCGAGGCAGGCUAGCUAAAGUUUUAGUUAACGUUAGAGUAGCUAGCUAAUUACCUCAUUACAACAUAGUUAGGUCGUAACUCUUACUAGUUUAUUGUGUAUUAUCUGGAUAUUGUUGGUUAUGUCACGUUAUCAUUUGAUAAUGUUAGCGAGGAAGGCUAGCUAGCUAAUGUUAGCCUACAAGUCGGAUUUGCAAUUCAGUUCGUAGCACAUAUAGCACAAGUGUAUUCUGUAUUGUCUAGGGCAAACUAAAUAAUGAAUGCAGCUGUGGUGGUAGGUAACUCGUGUCUGAGUUUGACAUGAGUUAGCUGCAGUGAAUUUGGAGCAACAAACCGUAAUGGCAUCAUUGGCCUAAAUCUAAUCCAAUCUGGGAGCUACAGUCAGUCUACAUCUGUAAAGCAUAGAAUUAGGGGUUUCCACUAGUUACCACAGCCACAAAGUCAAAAUGGACUAUUGUAACAAUUACUAAAAACAAAAAUGAACUUAAUGUAAGGUUAGGCAUAAGCUGGUUGACAUUGCUCGUCCGAAUAUAUAUUCUUAAUUCUAUUCCUUUACUUUAGAUGUGUGUGUUGUGAAAUUGUUAGAUAUUACUGUACUGUUGAUUGGAGUUAGAAACACAUGCAUUUCGCAACACCAGCAAUAACAUCUGCUAAACAUGUGUAUGUUACCAAUACAUUUAGAUUUUGAGGUUCGCAGUGUGGUUAGGUUAAGAGAAAUUGUAGAAAUAGGCAGGGUUUAUGACUUGGUGGCUGUGUUAACUAGUGACAACCUAUAACUAAAUUGACCCAAGUUACUGCCCUGAUGACACAGAUGGCUUCAUCAACAACGUGUUAUGUGGAAAGUUUUAUUAAAACAUACCGUUUGAUAAACUAGUAGGUUAAUUACCCAGCCAAGCAGAUACAAAUAGUACAGUCAUUUUGGUUAAGUGCAUUAUCAAAAAGCGUUGUCCUUUAUAACAAAAUGCUAUUUACCACUUGGCUGUCUAUUGUAUCACCCUGUCACAGGUCCUCCCAGUCAACACCACCUCAUAAGAUGAGGAAGUACGUUGUUUAUGAGGAUUGCCUGCUGCAGUUGUUUGAGAGAUUUCCAGUUUGCAGCAGAACAUGCAACAUAGAGAAGACCAGCAAGGGGACCCUCAGCAUCACGCAGACAUGCCCUCGCUGUGAGCAUUCCUAUAAAUUGAGCAGGGAGAACACUUGAAUCAGUAUCUUUGAGGGGCCAGGAUCUCAUCAAUGCUGCAAUGCCCAUCAAUGGGACACUGGCAAAGACCUUAAUUCUUGCCUCCUCGCCAAUGGUCGUCGAUGGCGAGACAAGAAUUAGAAACAUGUAUGGAGCCAGCACAUGGAGACUUGCAAGAUGAUGUGAUGAAGACUGACUGAUGUCUCUAAAUGGACCUGGCAUUCUGCAUACAUUUUUUACUAGACAACUUUUACUUGUAUUGUCUUUUUUUAAUUAUUGGGUUGACUGGUAUCAGUCAAUAUGGGGAGGGAGAAACCCUAUAUAUUCUGCACCAGGAUCAAGCAACUCCUGUUGUAUACGGGACACCACACAGGAAGGUACUCUGACAUGUUUGCCAAGGUAGUCCCAUUACCACCAGACAAAAUGUGCCGAUAGGCUGUAUCGGCUGGGAAAGACAAUGAAAGGUGUAUUUUGUUAUACUGUAUUUGCAAAACACAGCUUAUAUUGUAUUAUUUAAAGGGUUGUUUAUUCUACAUGUAACUACAUUUGAAAGUUAAAACACUUUGUUUAGAAUAUCUACAUAAAUUCAACAAUUGUAUUCUUCUCAUUUUACUCUGAAGGCUACUGACCUAUUCAAUGCUUCCUCCGGCAUCUCCUCAUACAUCUGCCUGUAGUCAUUGAACACUAACUGCCGGGGUUUGUUUGUGGUUAUUGAGUGGGGGGAACAGCGCAUGCAAGGUUCUGACAGAUGGGUGUGUCUUGGUGGUGGCAAGGACACACUCAAGAAACACCCCAAAUCACAUUUCGUUUCUGAUAUGGCCGCCAGCAUUUCUUGAGGAGCAUGCCAAAAAAAACAAGGCCAGAUCAGCAGGUGCAGUUCCUUUUUCUGCAUCGUGUCAUAAGGGCCCGAUUCAGACAUAGGAAAUGUACCCCUUUCCUACGCACUUCUCAGUAGUUGGUAUUCAGACUUGUAACCAGGUUUGCUUGUGUGGCACCAUUGCGCGCACUGAAUACAUUUAAUUCAACCCCAGAAAACACCCAAUGGGUGGCCUACCUAUUUGAACAGGAAGUUUUUGUUCAAUUGGUUUUUCUGUUCAUUUAGCUAAAACAGGGAUGUGCAACUUUGAAGGGGAUGGGGGCCACAACAAAUCUGAACUCCUCAUGAGAGGUUGCUGUGGCAUCGCGGGUCUCUGUACCGACAUACAUACAGUAGCAACACAUGCAGUCGGAGCUGGCCCUAGCCUCAUGGGGGCCCUAAGCAAAAUGUUGUUUGGGAUGCCCCCCCCCCCACCUUGCGAGCAAAACAUUUUAGCAACCCCCUUGACAGCAGUGAGGUGUGUGUGUGUUUAUAUAUAUUUUUUACAUUUCCUGCAAUUCUAUACUUUGUCAUGAGGUGUAGAGAGAAUGUGGUAGUCUUAAAGCAAGUUUGCUGCAAUUUUUCACAUUUUGCUAUAGAGCAGUUUUACAGUGAAUGUUUGCCGUUUCUAAUAUGAUAUGAGAGUGACUAACCCGGUCGGUAAUUCAACCACAAUUACUACAAUUUUAGAUAGCUGGCUAAACUAAUUUGCCAAUUAAAACAUAUUUAGCGGGUGUGGGUGAGUGAGUGUCAGAGACUGACAUAACAAGAGAAACUGCUGACGCACAACCACAUUUUGAAGUAGAAGCUUGUGUAUUCUAUUAUUCUAAUUCUCAACACUAAUUUGAGACCCCGACUGAGUUAAUAAAAUUAUAAAUACAGUGAGCUCCAAAAGUAUUGGGCCAGUGAUACACUAUCAAGAGUGUGACUAUAAAUUGGUUGGAUGUGUUUGCUGUUUUUGUUUCAGAUUAUUUUGUGCCAUAGAAAUUAAUGGUAAAUGUCACUUUUAUUGUAAAUAAGAAUAGAAUACGUUUCUAAACACUUCUACAUUAAUGUGGAUGCUGACAUGAUUACGGAUAAUCCUGAAUGAAUUGUGUAUAAUGAGGGAGAAAGUUAGAUGCCAAAUAUCAUACCCCCAAAAAUUCUACCCUCACCUGUUAUUGUCAGAGUGAGAUGUUAGCAUGUCUUGGGGGUAUGAUGUUUGUGGGUUUGUAACUUUCUCACUCAACAAUAUUCAUGAUUCAUUCAGGAUUGUCUGUAAUCAUGGUAGCAUCCACAUUCAUUUGGAAGUGUUUUAUUUACAGUUUCUAUUGGGCACAAACUAAUCUGAAACAACCAAAACAAACCAGCAAAUGCAUCCAACAAAUUUGUAGUCACAAGCUUGAUGUAGUUAUCACGUGCUAUGAAUAUAAAGCAGUAACAAUGUAAGUGAAUAUGUCCCAAUACUUUUGCUCCCCUAAAAUGGGGGGGGGGGCUAUGAACAAAAAGUUAUUUAAUUUCUAAAAUGUUUACCCUGUAUGGAUGAAAAUACCCUCAAAUUAAAGCUGACCGUCUGCACUUUAA